rnacentral:rRNA from 1 species
UGGGGAAUUUUGCACAAUGGGGGAAACCCUGAUGCAGCGACGCCGCGUGAUUUAGAAGGCCUUCGGGUUGUAAAAAUCUUUUCUAUGGGAAGAAAAUGACAGUACCAUAGGAAUAAGGACCGGCUAAUUACGUGCCAGCAGCCGCGGUAAUACGUAAGGUCCGAGCGUUGUCCGGAAUCAUUGGGCGUAAAGGGUACGUAGGCGGGUAAGCAAGUUAGAAGUGAAAUCCUAUAGCUCAACUAUAGUAAGCUUUGAAAACUGCUCAUCUUGAGGUAUGGAAGGGAAAGUGGAAUUCCUAGUGUAGCGGUGAAAUGCGCAGAUAUUAGGAGGAAUACCGGUGGCGAAGGCGACUUUCUGGCCAUAACCUGACGCUGAGGUACGAAAGCGUGGGUAGCAAACAGG